rnacentral:rRNA from 1 species
UAGGGAAUCUUCCACAAUGGACGCAAGUCUGAUGGAGCAACGCCGCGUGAGUGAAGAAGGUUUUCGGAUCGUAAAGCUCUGUUGUUGGUGAAGAAGGAUAGAGGCAGUAACUGGUCUUUAUUUGACGGUAAUCAACCAGAAAGUCACGGCUAACUACGUGCCAGCAGCCGCGGUAAUACGUAGGUGGCAAGCGUUGUCCGGAUUUAUUGGGCAUAAAGCGAGCGCAGGCGGAAUGAUAAGUCUGAUGUGAAAGCCCACGGCUCAACCGUGGAACUGCAUCGGAAACUGUCAGUCUUGAGUGCAGAAGAGGAGAGUGGAAUUCCAUGUGUAGCGGUGGAAUGCGUAGAUAUAUGGAAGAACACCAGUGGCGAAGGCGGCUCUCUGGUCUGCAACUGACGCUGAGGCUCGAAAGCAUGGGUAGCGAACAGG